GACACUCAUUGCAAUAUGUGUGUCAAGUAACGAAGUCUACCACUUUGAUUCUUUGCGUAAAGGAACAAUACGGUCCUUACUAGUCAAAUCAUUGUUAAAUAGUGUGAUGAAGAAGAUUACUUCAUCUGGACUUCGACAAGGAAAAGCUCCUGUUUGGUAUUUAGUCGAGUGUCCGGUACAAGAAGGUGGACUUGCGUGUGGGUAUUACGUCAUGAGGUUCAUGCUCGAUAUCGUCAACUAUUGCAAAGAUGUUGUUGAUCUUCGAAAGGUAUGUAACUUUUAGGUUUCCAAUUGUUGUUUGUUGUAUUUCCGGCCUAUUUUAGCCUUUUCGCUCC